GUCUUGUGUUUCCUACAGUUUCCAAAAAAAUAUUUGGAAAACAUGUUUUUAUUAAAAACACGGAAUGUGAACGAUAACCUUUUAAUACGGUUCCCAUUGCGAAUCCGCUUAAAACUAUAUCUCUUUGCAUUUUAUCCUUCUUUCUUUUUUUUUUUCCCUCAAUUGUAAAAUCCCUUGACUCCUCAAUCCUCACUCACAUAUGCUUUUCUUUCUCCAUUCUUCACAAUCACAGCCACAUUUUCACUUUUCUUUCAACCCUUAUCUUAUUCACCUCUUGUUCAACCUUUGGCUUCUUCAGUUUUCCUUCAUCCUGUGGCUUUUUCAAUUUCAAAGUCUUUCUUCAACGAUUAUUCAUCUGUUCAUGCAACCAACAAAAAAAGGUUCGUAAAAUAAUUAUUUUGAUAAUUUUAGGUGGAGGGUAAUUGUAUUUUUUUUAGGAGUUCUAAGAAAUCUUAUUGAUUUAACCAUAUUAGUUGUUAUUCCAAGGUUGAUUUAUAUUAUUUUUUGAAUAGCACUGAGUCGGUAUCCAUGAUUUAGACAAUUUUAACCACUUUAUUAAGGUUUUGUGGGUAUGUGAGUUAUGAUUUUAUUCCAUGGGAUUGGUUUGUAGGUACUAUUAGGUUAAGCAUAUAAGUUGAAGAGAUAUAAUGGGGUGUAAGUCUGUAUUGCAGAAGUGAUGUGUAAUUGUGGGUGUUAAUCUAUAAUAUCAUGGGAGAGUAAUGAAAAUGUAGAUUAGCUUUCUUCGUUUAAUAAAUCUUUGGUUUAGCAAAAAAAAAAAGAAAAAAUUGUAUUUUGAUUCUAGAAUCUUGGAAAUCUACAAAUGGGUCUAGUAGUUUACUCAUGAUUGACCAAACCAUUAAAAGGAUUUCUAGGUUCACUUAUUCAUUAGCAUGAUCCUAUAUUUCACUGUAAAAGUGUGAUAGCUUUUGCUUUGGAACCAAUUAGUUUGCUUCGUUGCCUUUCUUUUGGCUGUUUCUUAACUUUGUUAGAAAAACAAAUAUCUUAAUCCCUCUGACAUAUUUACCUAGCAUUCUAUUAAUUCUCUCUAGUGUGUCAUUGUUGGCUCACCUACGGUAUGGAGUUCUCAUGUUCCUUCUAUGGUUCCUAGCAUAGUCUUUUAUAAGUUUGAGAAUAAGUUGAAUUUGGAUGAUCUUUACAUGUGUUCUUUUUAGGACUGUCAUCAAUCUGGUUUAAAAAAAGGCAAUCUGUGAGGGCACUCUAUAGAUGGUUAAAAAAUGUGGAGACCCAAUUAUUUGUGUUUUAUAUGAGGAUGAGGAGUCCAGGUUUCUUAUCUUUUGAGGGAGAUCAAGAACUUCAUGUAUUCAUUAGAGAUUAGCGAGGUUCCCUUUUUUUAUUCCUUUCUGUUGAGUUUGAGUUGUUGGGAAAAAAUUGGAAAUUUCAUUAAGGAAAAAGCUAGUGUACCAUUUUUCUCUUGCCUUGCAUUAGUUUGUUUUGUUUUUGUUCUAGUGUCUCUUUGUAAAUUGUAAGGGGUCUGUGCUUUCUUUACCACAUAAAGGCAUAAGCAAAGCCAAAGGAUUUCCUUAACUAGUGGUUAAGUCCUUUCUAGUCUUCCUUCUACUAAAUAUCUAUCACAAAAGAAAAGAGUAUAGAGAGAGUGUGUGCAAAUACAUGGAAAUAUAAUUAGCAGUAAAAUAUUUCUAGCUUUGAUUUUAUUUCAAUAAUUGGUCUUGGUUAUUGCUCUCUUUACCUAUAGUAAUUGUCCUUUUAUAGGUUGAAUGGAUGAUAAUGGACUGUGCUUAGGAAAUUUUCUUUCUAGAAUGUAUUGCUUGUUUGAAUUGAUCUACCUUAUCACGUAGUUUGGUUCAUGACAUGACAGAACUUAACAUUAGUUAGAUCUUAUUUGAUGAUUGAUUCAAAUUGAUUGUUUCUUUUUUAAAGGCAUUUGUAGUGAAAUUUUUUAUCAGUAAGACAUGUACAUUUGUAAGAUUUUAAUCAAAUAAAUUUAAAUACAAUUGAGACUUAGAUAACUAACAAUUACCUUGUUGUGGGAACUCUGCAUUCUUAGAUGGCAAAUGGUGAUCAAAAUAUGCAACCAAUUGAUAGUGAAAGUGAGGAAAAUGAUCUUGAUGAACUUGAAAAUGAUGAUAAAAUUAUAUGGACAGCUGAGAGAGAAUUUAUUCAUUUGCAUUGUGGAGGAAGAGUUUCUUAAGGGACAUAGAGUCACAAUUACAUUCAGUAAAGAAUCAUGAAAUUUUAUUCGAGAAACACUUAGGAAAAUAGCAAAGUACAACUAUCUUGAUUCACAAUUGAGAAGUAAGUUUAAUCAAUUGAGAUCUCGUUAUAAUAAUUUCAAAAAGUUGUUAAAAGAGACUAGAGUUUGAUAUGAAGCUAUCACUGGAAAAGUUAUUGCUACGGAGGAAACACGGCACUGCCUAUAUGCUGUUCAGAAGAUGGCUAAAAGAUUAAAAAAAAGGGUUGUUCAAUGUAUGACAAAUUGUGUGUUAUUUAUGGAAAUACUUUUGCCACUCGAUCAAAUGCAAGACCUUCUACACUUAGUCCAUCAAAUAGUGAUAAGGAGGGAGUGGAUCCAACUUAUGACAUAGACAAAGAAUUAAAGGAAGAAAUAGAAGGUGAAGGCGGUGCGAAUGCCAGUGGUAGUAAUACUAAAAAGCAUAUCCAUUCUACUACCCCUAUCAUUCGCUAAGGGAAAAGAUCAAAUAUUUCCAUUUCAAUACAAUCUGCCUUAAACUCUAUUAGUGAAAUUCUAGAAGAAAGGUUGACAUACGGUAGAGAUUGUUAGUUGUUUCAGCUCAUUCAAGGGGAUCUAUUGGGACAUUAAAUCUGAAACUAUUUCUGAAUCUAGAUCACCUAGAAGGAAAUUCUUAAAUGAGAGUUUAGAAGCAUUAGAAAAACUUGACGGUAUUGGUGGCGCAUCUUAUUCUAAAGCUAUAGAGAAAUUUCAUAAUGAUGAAUUAUAGAGAGAAAUGUUUCUUCAAAUGACUGAUGGAAGGAAGAAAGAUUGGGUUCUUAAUUUAAAGUGAACUUGUUUCUAAUGUCGUGUUUUUUUCCAAUCCUAGAACUUCUUUCUUUGCCUUGGAUUUUUAUUUGUGAUGUUUAUUUCUAUCAUUUGUAGUUUUUUAUUUUUCUUUCUAGUUUAUCAGUGGAAUAUGCUACCUAGAAUGUAGUUAUUAAGCUUGGUACUUUAACUAUAUGUAUGAAUGGAGUUUAGUUCUAUUUUAAUAUGCGUUUGACUAUUUUUAUUAGCCAUUUAGUCAAAGAUCCUAUAUGAUUUUUUUAUGAAAUUUUAAUAUGCAUUUGAAUUUUUUUUAACAUUUUAGUUUGCCUAUAU